rnacentral:misc_RNA from 1 species
AAAAAAUAAAGGGAGGAAUCUUAGCGAGCCACCCUCCCCCCGUGUUUACUGUACCUUAGUUGCUUCGGCGGGCCCGCCAUUCAUGGCCGCCGGGGGCUCUCAGCCCCGGGCCCGCGCCCGCCGGAGAACCACGAACUCUGUCUGAACUAAUGAAGUCUGAGUUGAUUGGAUCGCAAUCAGGUAAAACUUUCAACAAUGGAUC